AGAAUGUGGCGAUCCUGCAAAAUUACAAGGGUGCUUAAACGAUUGCCAACAAUAUGACCCAUCAUUUUGGGAUAAAUGUAGAAGCGACUGUUACUUUUUGUACGGCCCAUAGAAAUAACGAGGAGUGAAAAAGAAUAUGCAAAUUCGUAGAUACGAAUCAGCUUUAAAGCAUAAAAAUGUAACUUCAU